rnacentral:rRNA from 1 species
GAUGAACGCUGGCGGCGUGCCUAAUACAUGCAAGUCGAGCGAAUGGAUUAAGAGCUUGCUCUUAUGAAGUUAGCGGCGGACGGGUGAGUAACACGUGGGUAACCUGCCCAUAAGACUGGGAUAACUCCGGGAAACCGGGGCUAAUACCGGAUAACAUUUUGAACCGCAUGGUUCGAAAUUGAAAGGCGGCUUCGGCUGUCACUUAUGGAUGGACCCGCGUCGCAUUAGCUAGUUGGUGAGGUAACGGCUCACCAAGGCAACGAUGCGUAGCCGACCGGAGAGGGUGAUCGGCCACACUGGGACGGAGACACGGCCCAGACUCUUACGGGAGGUAGCAGUAGGGAAUCUUCCGCAAUGGACGAAAGUCUGACGGAGCAACGCCGCGUGAGUGAUGAAGGCUUUCGGGUCGUAAAACUCUGUUGUUAGGGAAGAACAAGUGCUAGUUGAAUAAGCUGGCACCUUGACGGUACCUAACCAGAAAGCCACGGCUAACUACGUGCCAGCCGCCGCCGUAA